AUUGAACGCUGGCGGAAUGCUUUACACAUGCAAGUCGAGCGGCAGCGCGGGGCAACCUGGCGGCGAGCGGCGAACGGGUGAGUAACAGAUCGGAACGUAUCCUGGAGUGGGGGAUAGCCCGGGCGAAAGCCGGAUUAAUACCGCAUACGAUCUUUGGAUGAAAGUGGGGACCGCAAGGCCUCACGCUCAAGGAGCGGCCGAUCUCUGAUUAGCUAGUU
rnacentral:rRNA from 1 species